AGUGCUGGGAUUUAUAGGUGUGAGCCACUGCACCUGGCCCACAACCUCUUUAUUUUUAUUGUAAUAUGGAUGACUGGAACACAUUUGGUCUCCAGGUGACCCUUCAUAGGAAAGUAUCUUCAUGAGCUUCAGAUUAUAUAAUGACAGCUGAAAAGGUUAGUCUCAGUUACGACUUGAAGAGAUCUGUGUGUAAAAACUUCAGAAAGUAACAGGAUUGCUGGUGCUCGAAGUUAGUCUUUAGUAUGUGACUGUAGAGCUAUUUACAUCUAAGGCACAUUGCUAACAUAGAAUAAAAUUUGUCCUGAGUAUUUCAAUAAUGUGAUAAUGUGAUAUUUUUGCUAGAGACUAGCUUUCCCCCAAAUUGUAAAUGUGUAUUCUUCUCAAAUGUAGAAGUCUCUGGUCUUAUCACCUGGUGGGUAAGGACAUGCACAUCUUUUUCUUUUUUUCCAUCUUAGAAAGUAAUAGUCUGGAUCACAGAGUAGUUAGAUGAAGCUUCCAUCCAUCUUCCCUCAUGAUGCACUUUGUGUUGUUGGUAGAACAAGGGCAAGGGUAACCGUCACAUUCUGUUGGUUCUUCUGCUGAAAGCUGGAGUUUUUUCUGAACCUGUCGUCUGUGAUUCAUACUUGUCCUGAUAGUGCAUCUUUGGUGAUCUCAGUACUGAUCUAUGCUAUUCCGUAGCUGCCCCGGAACUGGAUUGAUAACUGCCCCACACCUAGCCUUACCUCUGCAUUCUCCCCACAUACUUAUGAAGCAGUGGGAGUUUCAGGAGCACAUUCGGCUUGUUCUCCAUUGCAUCUCAAUACUUGUUACCCUCUUUUAGAUCUUGAGCCCCUUAGAGAAUUUGGUGAAAGCUUUGGACUGUCUCCACAGUAGUACGUAUACAUAUUAUUAUGGGAAAUUCACAGAUGCCUUGAAAUCCCGGGAUAAGGAUUCCUGGGUUAGAUAUUGUCAUAACAGGAAAUAUAACAUGGUCCCAUUUAAAAGUAAACCAGAGGUUCCUAACCUCAGAUUUGUCGUUUAUCAUGGGCUGCCAUGAAGGUUUCUGCUUGAUCAUUUUUCUUAGCUUGGAAUGCUGUAUUUCCUAUCCUACGAAAGUGUUUGGACAAAGCAGAGUGUGUAGGGAAAGAGCUGAGGAAGUGAGGACAAGAAAGGAUGGAUGGAGUGUGUGGCUGUAAAAACUUCUGUUUUUCUGGUUUAACUAAACCAUAGGAAAUGAUUUGCUCUUCCUAACCUUUUCUGUAACUUCUGUCAGUUUCCAUUCUUAGGUUGCAGUUAAAGAUAGUCCUCAAAAAUUACAUUCCGCAGGCUUUCUUUUGUAACAUCUUUAAUACUGUUUUUUAAAAUCCAAAUCAUCCUGAUGUUUGAAGGUAAAGGAAGCUCAUCUUUGGGCAGUUGAGGUUGCUGGAGUGGACCCUUCUACUAAGCAAUGUACGGUGUAUCAUAAAGCUGUUUGCUAUGUUUAACGGAGUUUAGCCAUUCACUUGGGUGGGCAGUAUUUCCAGAUAGCCUUUACCUAGUCCCCUGAGUAAGCUGGCAUUACUGCUCAUUCCUCCUUCCCAUCCACAGCCCCAUUCUCAAUGUUUUUCUUUUUUUAAAAGUCACCUGUUGGGGAUGGGGGAGGGAAGCUUAUUUUCUCUCUUUGGAAGAGUUAUAAAUGGAAUCAGGAGAUAGAAACUUAUAUGAUACAAUGCAAUUAUAUUGUUAUAUGCACAGUAAUAAUAGAACACCCAAGAUUACCUUUUCUUGAAAUCUAAUUUCUGUAGCUUGUCUCUUUCUUUAUUGAAUCUGUUCUUUAUUGUACUGAAUAUAAUUAGCUUAGCGUUUUUAGUAUCUUAGAAGUAUUUUUUUUUUCAUGGUAGAUUGUUUUUUGAUCAUAUUCCUAUUUGUAUAUAUGAAUUCUGUUUCAUGACAUGAAUGUCACAAAUGCAUAGACUUUGAUUUUUGUAGUGACACAUACGAUUUGCAGUCCCCCCCCCCCCCACCAUUUUCUUGAUUUCCCCUUCACCAGUAUGGAGAUGAGAAAAGGGGAGCUUGCAUAACACUCCAUGGAGACCAAGUUAAUCCAGUCCUAUUCUACAUAAACAUUUCCUUCUGACCCAGAUAAGUACCAAAGUACCCAUGUUCUAAGCAACAUUUCUGUAUAAUAGGUGAUGGUGGUAAGUGUUUGAACUCUUCCUGAGGUUUCCAGUGCACAAAGCUGUUGUGUAAAUGAUUUUGUUUAAUCUUAACUACUAUAUGAAGUAGACAGUUUUGUGCUGCCCCACCCCCCACAUCCCCCACUUUCCCCAUGUUUCCUUUUCUGGCCACAGAGGAGUCCAGUUAAUUUGUCACCAGUCACACAAUUACUGUGUGGUAAAGAUGUUAUUCAGACCAGGUUAGGUGCUCCAGAUUCAGAGUAGUCUAGUACCCUGUACUGUUUCCUGCUCCCACAGUUUAAGAGCUCUAGGAACCAGGUUAUAGGUGACCAUGGGAAAAUCAGCAAGUUGUCCAGCAGUAGGAAACUUCUGCAUCUGUAUGUAUGUAUGUACUUUAACAUUGUAUGCACUGAAUAAUUCUUUUGCCAAAAAAAAAAAAAAAAAAGGGAAAAUGAUGGUAAGAGUAAAUAAGAAAGAAAAACCUUGUAUGAUCUCACUCUCUGGAGAACUAUUCCAUUACCAUUUUAGCAUAUUUCUUUCCAUUCUUUCUACUUAGGAGGAGAGUCCACAUUGUUUACAUAUUGGCAUUAAUAUACGGUUCAUAGUUUUAUAUUCUGCUUUUUUCUCUUAGCACCUCAUGAGCAUUUUCCCAUGCCAUUUAAAAUUUUUGGAAAUGUUCUAAAUGAAUUUUGCCUUGAGGAAAAUAAAUUCUACUCAAGAAGGUAGUUGACUGUUAUAAGCCCAGUGGUGGUGAAGUAGUCAAAACUGAUGGCACAAAGUCUAACUGAGGGAGAAAAGACAGAAGCAGCAGAGUUGGAGAGUAGGGUUAAUAAAGUCAGUCUAUACCUUUAUGGUGUGUGGUACCUAUGGGACUUUUGAAAAUGCUCAUUAAGCAAAGAACCCAUGGGCUUACAGCAAAGUUUUCUAAAUUGCCGUCAUCAUGUGUUUGGAAGUUGAAACUUAUUUCCUAGGUGAGGAAAUUAAGGUCUAGAGAGACAAAUGAGUUAACUGCCACCGGUUCAUUGUGCAACCAUAUUGAAGAGGGUAUCUUUUAGAUGAGGUCACUAUAGCGUUAUCAGGCCUCCUAGUGCAAGCAGUGACCAGUAAAUGGUUUCGGAACAAAUAAAGCAAUGUGAUUCUGUGGAUCAUUUAUCACCACACUUUUGUGUGUCCACUACAAACAGUACCUCCGAAAAGUGAUCAUUUGUUCUCUUUUGGAUGUUUAGUGCUCACUUCUGAUAUAUCCCAUUCUGUUUUUUAAACAAGAGGAGUUCGAAAUUUACAGAUUGUUUCUAACAGAAUGAAACUAUUAAUUCAUUUUGUUAUCCACCCCCCCCCCCCGUUUUU